CCUACGGGGGGCUGCAGUGAGGAAUAUUGGUCAAUGGACGAGAGUCUGAACCAGCCAAGUAGCGUGAAGGAUGACUGCCCUAUGGGUUGUAAACUUCUUUUAUAAAGGAAUAAAACGAGGCACGUGUGCCUUUUUGCAUGUACUUUAUGAAUAAGGAUCGGCUAACUCCGUGCCAGCAGCCGCGGUAAUACGGAGGAUCCGAGCGUUAUCCGGAUUUAUUGGGUUUAAAGGGAGCGUAGAUGGGUUGUUAAGUCAGUUGUGAAAGGUUGCGGCUCAACCGUAAAAUUGCAAUUGAUACUGGCAGUCUUGAGUACAGUUGAGGUAGGCGGAAUUCGUGGUGUAGCGGUGAAAUGCUUAGAUAUCACGAAGAACCCCGAUUGCGAAGGCAGCUUACUAAACUGUGACUGACAUUGAGGCUCGAAAGUGUGGGUAUCAAACAGGAUUAGAUACCCCUGUAGUC
rnacentral:rRNA from 1 species